ensembl:lncRNA
AGCCCGUCAGGAGUAGGAGCAACAACACCAACUCAUCCACCAGCAAAAAAGCCGUAGCCUACAAUUGACAAAACAAGACACUACCCAUUCCAGACACAGAACAGGUGUUGAUUCCCCUUCUGACUGAAACUAUUUGAUGAAUCAAUGGAUCAACAAGAAAAUGAAAACACAGCUCUUAGCCAAGCCAAUCUCAGAGCCUGAAGUCCAGGAAGCGGUGGGACAAUUUGAAGACACAGAGGAGGCAGAAGAGAACAUGGUUUCCUAGUUUAAAUGUAUUCCUGUUUUAUCUGUCCUGUAUUUUCUACAAAUAUUUUUUGAAGUUACAAAAGACAUUGUAUUGUGUUAAUUGUGGAACGCUUUUCUAUUAUUUCUUCUUCUUUACAUUUCCCUGUUACAGAAUCCUUUCAGAAAUAAUCUAGCCAAAGAGAAGUAGAAAACUAGAAGUUGUUGAAGCACCAUUUAAACAAAAUAAGAUUUUGCUUUAGAUAUCCAUAGAUUUGGACCCAGUUAGGCUAUUCAUGACAUUUAGUUGUCAUUAUUUAAAAAUACCUUAUAUUUUUGUAAUUAUUACAACUUAGUGACACAAUAAUAAAGGAAUACCAAUCUAAGUGUUUGGUUCAUCUCAGGGCCGGCCCCAGGGCUUUUAGGGCUGUUUUCUUUGUAUUGAUGACAUUUCCAUUUUCUCUCCAUCCCCUGCUGAGCAAGAGUAACACGUAUGCCAUGUUCUCCAGCGCCAGGAGAAUGAGCUUUAAGUAAAGGUUUGGAAGUGGGAAUUACACCCCAAGUCCCCUCGGUGUCCUGUCUAGGGUACAACAUACAGGCCAAGGGCAGGUGAAGAUGACCUCGCAAAGGUAGCUCCUCUGGCAGAAUUGCCCGGCCCGCCGAAUCUCCAUCAGGACAAACCCACGGGUAGCCCCGGUCUGUCCUCCAGCAGGGGGACAGGUUAAUCAACCGACUAGCGUGCCCGACUCUUCCUGGUCGUGUCUUGGGCCAAGCUAGGGUAGGAUUACAAAGUUCUGAAAACCAAACGCCUGGGGUCACGUACCAAAUAACAAGGGUAGGAACUUCCCGAGACCCCGUAAAAAGGGGGGGACGAAUGAUCAAGAGUUCAACUGUUGCCCUGGGUUACUGUCACUGGCUUUCAU